AACGAUUGCGACCCCAGGUCAGGC
rnacentral:rRNA from 1 species